GAUGAACGCUAGCGGCAGGCCUAAUACAUGCAAGUCGAGCGGCAAGUUGAGACGCAAUUCGAGACCUAGAGCGGCGUACGGGUGCGUAACGCGUAUGCAACCUACCUCAUACAGGGGGAUAGCCCGGAGAAAUCUGGAUUAAUACCCCAUAGUACAUAUAGAGGGCAUCUGAAAUAUGUUAAAGAUUCAUCGGUAUGAGAUGGGCAUGCGUCUGAUUAGCUAGUCGGCGGUGUAACGGACCACCAAGGCGACGAUCAGUAGGGGUUCUGAGAGGAAGGUCCCCCACACUGGCACUGAGAUACGGGCCAGACUCCUACGGGAGGCAGCAGUAGGGAAUAUUGGGCAAUGGUCGGAAGACUGACCCAGCCAUGCCGCGUGCAGGAAGAAGGCCCUCUGGGUUGUAAACUGCUUUUAUCUGGGAAGAAAAGGCCCGUGCGCGGGACAUUGCCGGUACCAGAUGAAUAAGCACCGGCUAACUCCGUGCCAGCAGCCGCAGUAAGAC
rnacentral:rRNA from 1 species